rnacentral:misc_RNA from 1 species
AACGCACGAGACCUGCGGACCUGCGGAAGGAUCAUUACAAAAGUUAUACACUUGGGGAACGGACUCGUCUUUCGGGACUUGAGGCCUGACUCCAUUUGUAACACAACUUCAACCACUUGUGAACAUGUAAUAAUAUCUCACCAAUUGACUGUUAACGAAGUCUGAUUCAAAUUGUAUUGGUGUUAAUAGACACUAGUAAAAUAUGAAACAACUUUCAACAAUGGAUCUCUAGAUCGGAAG